UCCCUGGUGGUCCAGUGGUUAGGACUCUGUGUUUUCAUUGCUGAAGGCCUGAGUUCAAUUCCUGGUUGAGGAA
rnacentral:tRNA from 1 species